CGCCCUAACCCGCUGCCGGGGCGGGUCGCGAGCCGACCAAUCCGCAAGCCGCGAAUGGAAUAUUAAAUCUACGUCCGUUCCCUAUUGGACGGCCUCGAGACGUCAUCUACAUAUUCAUGAGGCGCGCGACCAAUGGGGAACGGGAGCGGGAGAGCAGGCUCGACUGGGAGGCGUGGGGAUGGCGGCGCGGCGGCGGGAGGCGUGACCGGCGGGAGCGGAGCGGUGCUGAGCGGGCCGCUCGGAGCGGGGAGCGGAGCCGCCGACAGCGAACUGGGACUUCGCCGGGCCGGUACCGGCUCUCCCGGAAAGAAUAGCGGCGGCACAAACCGGAGCGGCGGCACGAAGCGGGGCCGCAGGUCGACGAGCCGCCCCCAGCGCCGUGCGCCUGAGGAGGAGCCCCGCCCACUGCGCUCGGCCAAUCACUGAGCUCCAGCGCGGCCCGAACGCGAAGCAUUGUGGGACGGCGGGAAGCGGGAGCUCGGCGGGUUGCCGGGCAACGGCGGAGAGCGGCGCGGGGCUCGCGCGUCCCGGGGCGGGCAGCGGCUGGGCCGGGGCUCCGGGAGAGCAGAGCGGCGGGAAGGGGGGCCGGCAGCGGGGGCCGCGGCUCUUCAGUGCUCUGCUUCCCUUCCAUCUGAGCCUUAUUCGCUAGCGAGGCGCUGAGCGUUGCAACACCUCCUGCCGGAGCACGUGCCGGUAAUUAACCCGGAUGAUGAUUCGCCAAUAAUUAGCGAGCUGUCUCGAAGCGAGAGGGAUUAACGGGAGCAGGGAGCGAGAUGGGCAGCGGCGCUGCUCAGCCGGGGGCAGGAAGAGUGCUUGCCGUGCUCCGUGGCCACCAGCAGAGCAAGCUGAGAAUAAUCUUCAACGGGACAUCAUGCGAACAAACUCUGCAACCAACAAGAAAAGACAGACCUGAAGCAGAAAACAUCCAUGGUCCCCAGCCCAGCUCUCAUUCCAUGGAGAUACGCAGCCAGGGUGACACUGGGGCUCCACAUGCUGCCAUUCCGUGACUGGGCCUGAGGAGCUCACACAAAACAGGCUUUACUCCUUGUGUUAGAGCAGGCUGGUUUGUAGCCCUGGGAUGACAGCACAAGCUCUUAGCAAGCCUGCCACUUGUAGGAGACCCAGUGCUACUAAUGUUUUGAUAUCUGGACUCAGAGCAUGUAAAUCUUCCUUUCUGCUUCCACCUCCAAGCUGAAGCUCUGACUCACACGAUAGCAGAUGGACAGGGAGCAUUCAUCCCUUCUCACCUUCAAAGUCAACACGCCCAUCUCCAUUCAGAUCCACGUCCCGGAUGAUCUCUUCAAUAUCCCGAUGACCCACCUGCUGCCCUAGAAGCUUCUUCAUGGCUUCUCGCAGCUCACUGGUGCUGAUCUCUCCAUCACCAUUAGUAUCAAACUGCAAGUACAUGAAAAAAUACCAGCAGGGGAAAUACAGUUAAGGGAAGUGGA